rnacentral:rRNA from 1 species
UACGAAGGGGGGCUAGCGUUGCUCGGAAUCACUGGGCGUAAAGCGCACGUAGGCGGCUUUCUAAGUCAGGGGUGAAAUCCUGGAGCUCAACUCCAGAACUGCCUUUGAUACUGGAGAGCUUGAGUCCGGGAGAGGUGAGUGGAACUCCGAGUGUAGAGGUGAAAUUCGUAGAUAUUCGGAAGAACACCAGUGGCGAAGGCGACUCACUGGACAGGUAUUGACGCUGAGGUGCGAAAGCGUGGGGAGCAAACAGG